rnacentral:rRNA from 1 species
CCUACGGGUGGCAGCAGUCGAGAAUCAUUCACAAUGGGGGAAACCCUGAUGGUGCGACGCCGCGUGGGGGAAUGAAGGUCUUCGGAUGGUAAACCCCUGUCAUGUGGGAGCAAAUGAAAAAGAUAGUACCACAAGAGGAAGAGACGGCUAACUCUGUGCCAGCAGCCGCGGUAAUACGGAGGUCUCAAGCGUUGUUCGGAAUCACUGGGCGUAAAGCGUGCGUAGGCGGUUUCGUAAGUCGAGUGUGAAAGGCGCGGGCUCAACCCGCGGACGGCACAUGAUACUGCGAGACUAGAGUAAUGGAGGGGGAACUGGAAUUCUCGGUGUAGCAGUGAAAUGCGUAGAUAUCGAGAGGAACACUCGUGGCGAAGGCGGGUUCCUGGACAUUAACUGACGCUGAGGCACGAAGGCCAGGGGAGCGAAAGGGAUUAGAUACCCGGGUAGUC